rnacentral:lncRNA from 1 species
GUUUCGGUAAGAAAUCUAACGUUACUUUCGACGUUAUAAGGAGUAUUUUUAUAUAAAAAAAUUUAAUAUGAUAAUUAUUUUAUCUUUUUUGCAUGUCUCUGUAUUCAAAUGAGUCGAAUUGUCUGAUUUUCAAGCAUGAUGUGUGAUUUACUGACACUUGGUGAAUUUGCAUGUGAUAAAUGUAAUAUGUAGCACGUGAUAAUAAAAAAAAGAAAAAAAAAGAGAAAAAUUGAAUGAAGCAUGUAUGGUUUGAAGUGUAUCUGUAUUGAUAUGCAUAUUGUAUCAAGUGUUUCGUUAGGCUUUCUAUCUCUGAAGGAUAUAUGUUCCCCUUACCCUUCAGGGUAUCUGUUUCCCCCUCCCUAUCUGGUCUGAAAAAACGUAAGAGAACCACUCCUAG